rnacentral:rRNA from 1 species
GUGAGGAAUAUUGCGCAAUGGAGGCAACUCUGACGCAGCCAUGCCGCGUGCAGGAAGAAGGCGCUACGCGUUGUAAACUGCUUUUAACCGGGAAGAAACCCCAGGACGUGUCCUGGGUUGACGGUACCGGAGGAAUAAGCACCGGCUAACUUCGUGCCAGCAGCCGCGGUAAUACGAAGGGUGCAAGCGUUAUCCGGAUUCAUUGGGUUUAAAGGGUGCGUAGGCGGAGCGUUAAGUCAGUGGUGAAAUCCUGCAGCUUAACUGUAGACUUGCCAUUGGUACUGGCGCUCUUGAGUGCGCUUGAAGUGGGCGGAAUGUGCCGUGUAGCGGUGAAAUGCUUAGAUAUGGCACAGAACACCAAUUGCGAAGGCAGCUCACUAAGGCGAUACUGACGCUGAGGCACGAAAGCGUGGGGAUCGAACAGGAUUAGAAACCCUUGUAGUCC